AACAUCGCCUCUUGUAAAAUAAGAGGUCCUGCCUGCCCAAUGACACACUGUUCAACGGCCGCGGUAUUUUGACCGUGCGAAGGUAGCGUAAUCACUUGUCUUUUAAAUGAAGACCUGUAUGAAUGGCAAGACGAGGGCUUAACUGUCUCCUUUUUCAAGUCAAUGAAAUUGAUCUCCCCGUGCAGAAGCGGGGAUAACUACAUAAGACGAGAAGACCCUAUGGAGCUUUAGAUGAUGAAACAGACCACGUCAAAGCAACCCUAAAUAAGGGACUGAACUAACUGGCCACUGUUUUUAUGUCUUCGGUUGGGGCGACCAUGGGGAAAUAAAAAACCUCCACGUGGAAUAGGAGCACUCCCAGAAUUAAGAGCUACAGCUCUAACUAACAGAAUUUCUGACCAAAAAUGAUCCGGCAGUGCCGAUCAACGAAUCAAGUUACCCUAGGGAUAACAGCGCAAUCCCCUUUUAGAGCCCAUAUCGACAAGGGGGUUUACGACCUCGAUGUUGGAUCAGGACAUCCUAAUGGUGCAG
rnacentral:rRNA from 1 species